UUAUAGAAAAAUAAACCUCAAGAUUCUAUUAAAUUUCGGCCCAAAUUUAUCAGUUACAACAUUUCCAUAGUUCGGGCCCAAUUAACAAUACAUCACAUUUUUAAUAUAGGCUCACAUAAUUAUAUCGUCUAUGUUAAUACACGACUAAUUAUACACAAAUUCUACAACUGCGGAGUUCAAUAACAGAUAUAUACAGAUAAUUCUUCAGACAUUUAUCUACUUAAUAUAUCAACAUUAAAAUUAAAGAAUUUCUUUUUAACAGUGAAGGAGCAGAGUUAUAGCUGGGAUUUAGAAAAUGCUA
rnacentral:lncRNA from 1 species